rnacentral:rRNA from 1 species
GUACACGCUGUGACUAGCAUAUCAAUAAGCGGAGGAAAAGAAACUAACAAGGAUUCCCCUAGUAACGGCGAGUGAAGCGGGAAGAGCUCAAAUUUGAAUCUUAAAGGGUUUCCCUUUACGAAUUGUAGUUUAAAGAAGUGUUUUCUGUUGAGGUUUUGGUAAAAGUUCUUUGGAAUAGGACAUCAUAGAGGGUGAGAAUCCCGUAUUUGACCUUUACUUUCAACUUUGUGAUACACUUUCAAAGAGUCGGAUUGUUUGGGAAUGCAGUCCAAAAUGGGUGGUAAAUUUCAUCUAAAGCUAAAUAUUGGCGAGAGACCGAUAGCGAACAAGUACCGUGAGGGAAAGAUGAAAAGAACUUUGAAAAGAGAGUUAAACAGUACGUGAAAUUGUCAAAAGGGAAGCGUUUGACACCAGUGUUGUUUUUCUGAAAAUCAAUUAAAGAACUGUUUAUGCUAAGUUGUUUAGACUUUAUCAGCUAUCUGUUUAGUUUUAGGCUUUUCUUUAAUGCACUUUUCAGUUAACAAGUCAACAUCAAUUUCUUUUGCUGUAAAAAAGCUUGAGGAAGGUGGCUUGAGAUUCGUCUUAAGUGUUUAUAGCCUCUUGCCUAUGCAGUCGGAGAGAUUGAGGUCUGCAGCGUAGAUCCUUCGGGGCUAAAUGCAUUUGUGCUAAGUUAUAGCAUUUUAUAGACAACUUGUUGACUAUGAUUUGUCUUGUAGCUUACUCGCUUAUGUUAUUUUACCUACGCUUAGGAUGUUGAGUCGUAGAGCACGCAG